AUCCCAUUGCUCUGAUGUGACAAGGUGACAAGACAGAGUGCGUAAAGACUGGGACGUGGCUACUAAGUUCACACAUGCGGAAUUGAGUGGCGCUCGGUGCUGCUGUGCGGGGAUGAGCACAUGGCUAUUUGGCUGAGUGCUGCUACCACCUGAGCCCACGCCACACCUUGUGUGCUUUUGAAUUGAACUCAUGCGCAUUAUUUUCUUGCAUCUAAAAAAGCAUAGAAUUUUUACUCACAGCUCAGUCAAGACCGUGUUGGCGGUAACAGUUCAUUUCUUUCAUUAUAGUUUUUAAAAUUCAGUUAUUGGAUGAUAUUGCAAUGACAUUCUUAAAAGAUUUCCUCCAAAGAGCAAUCUUAAAAUGAUAGUGUGUUAAUUAUAAGGAAAACAGGCUAUCUUUUGAUGUGCGUUUCCCAAUAUUCUCUGAGCCUGGAGGACAGCUGUCUUGUGCGGGAUUUUUGGUUCCGGUGCCAACAAUGUGGAAAAUGUGGUUGCAGUCUGCUGCACAGGGAGUGCCAGGUGCAUUCUGCCCCAUGCCCUGCUGACCUCGGGACCCUGACUUUGAAGGUUAUACAGCUCCUUAAAGAAUAAAGCUGGAAAAUAUUUUAGUGAAGUUAUCAUAUUUGUAUCUUGAUUUACAAAAAUGCUAACUUUGAGAUACAAACAGGUUUGGAAAAAAAUGUAUUAAGUACUUUGUAUUCUGGAACCGUAAAUUGAUUUUGAAGUCUGUCAGUAUUACUGGUAUUUUUCAAUAAAGAGUAAUUUCC
rnacentral:lncRNA from 1 species